GGGGCCUAAGGCGAGGUCGAAAGACGUAGUCGAUGGAUAACAGGUUGAAAUUCCUGUACUGCAUAUCAUCAGAACUGUGGGGACACAGAGAGAUACCGGAACCUGGGAAUGAAGAUACCAGGGCAAGCGAGGUAGGUGCUAAGCUGGCAAAACCGCUUAGUAAGCCGAAGACGUGAUGCGGAGCGAAUUAAAGUAGCGAAGUCCGGGAUUCGAGCUGUCGAGAAAAGCCGCUAUUGUGUGAUAUGUACCCGUACCGUAAACCGACACAGGUGGAUGAGGAGGGAAUCCUAAGGCCGGCGGGAGAAGCAUUGUUAAGGAACUCGGCAAAAUGACCCUGUAACUUCGGGAUAAAGGGUGCCACAGAGAUGUGGCCGCAGAGAAUAGGCUCAAGCAACUGUUUAGCAAAAACACAGGUCUAUGCGAAACCGAAAGGUGAGGUAUAUGGGCUGACGCCUGCCCGGUGCUGGAAGGUUACGAGGAGAGGUUAGAGCAAUCGAAGCUUUGAAUCUAAGCCCCAGUAAACGGCGGCCGUAACUAUAACGGUCCUAAGGUAGCGAAAUUCCUUGUCGGGUAAGUUCCGACCCGCACGAAAGGCGUAAUGAUUUGAGCGCUGUCUCGACAAUGCACCCGGUGAAAUUGAAAUACCAGUGAAGAUGCUGGUUACCUGCGCCAGGACGGAAAGACCCCAUGGAGCUUUACUCUAGCUUGAUACUGGGAUUCGGUACUGCAUGUACAGUAUAGGUGGGAGACGAAGAGGACAGGACGCCAGUCUUGUCGGAGUCGCUGUUGGGAUACCACCCUUGUGGUACUGGAUUUCUAACCAACCUCCGUGACCCGGAGGUGGGACAAUGUCAGGUGGGGAGUUUGACUGGGGCGGUCGCCUCCGAAAGGGUAUCGGAGGCGCUCAAAGGUUCCCUCAGAAUGGUUGGAAACCAUUCAAAGAGUGCAAAGGCAGAAGGGAGCUUGACGGCGAGACCGACGGGUCGAGCAGGUACGAAAGUAGGACUUAGUGAUCCGGUGGUAGAAAGUGGGAUUGCCAUCGCUCAACGGAUAAAAGCUACCCUGGGAUAACAGGCUUAUCACUCCCAAGAGUUCACAUCGACGGAGUGGUUUGGCACCUCGAUGUCGGCUCAUCGCAUCCUGGGGCUGAAGUAGGUCCCAAGGGUUGGGCUGUUCGCCCAUUAAAGCGGUACGCGAGCUGGGUUCAGAACGUCGUGAGACAGUUCGGUCCCUAUCCGGCGCGGGCGUAGGAUAUUUGAGAGGAGCUGCCCUUAGUACGAGAGGACCGGGGUGGACUGGCCUCUGGUGUAUCUGUUGAGCCAUCAGGCUCAUGGCAGAGUAGCCAAGCCGGGACGGGAUAAACGCUGAAGGCAUCUAAGCGUGAAGCCCCCCUCAAGAUGAGAUAUCCCAUACGCAAGUAGUAAGACCCCUUGAAGACGACGAGGUAGAUAGGGCAGAGGUGGAAGCGUAGUAAUACGUGGAGCUGACUGUUACUAAUCGGUCGAGGGCUUAACCGA
rnacentral:rRNA from 1 species